rnacentral:rRNA from 1 species
UGGGGAAUCUUCCGCAAUGGACGAAAGUCUGACGGAGCAACGCCGCGUGAACGAUGACGGCCUUCGGGUUGUAAAGUUCUGUUAUAUGGGACGAACAGGAUAGCGGUCAAUACCCGUUAUCCCUGACGGUACCGUAAGAGAAAGCCACGGCUAACUACGUGCCAGCAGCCGCGGUAAUACGUAGGUGGCAAGCGUUGUCCGGAAUUAUUGGGCGUAAAGGGCGCGCAGGCGGCAUCGCAAGUCGGUCUUAAAAGUGCGGGGCUUAACCCCGUGAGGGGACCGAAACUGUGAAGCUCGAGUGUCGGAGAGGAAAGCGGAAUUCCUAGUGUAGCGGUGAAAUGCGUAGAUAUUAGGAGGAACACCAGUGGCGAAAGCGGCUUUCUGGACGACAACUGACGCU